GGGGCUGUGAUGAUGAUGGACAAAAAUGCCACUGUCAACACAUCCAUUCCAUAUUCUUCUAACUGUUUCUCUCCAUGAGAUCUUGCUGUGUCCAAAGCCACAGAUCCUAUGGCAGCCUACAGAAGUUUAAAGAGAGAAGAGCAUUACAAGAGUCAGAAGAUUCAAAAUAUGUCAGAAAAACCAUCCCACAACUACAAAGGUCAUCAGAAGCAGCACUGGAUUUGAAAAUAGAUGGGGAAAAAAAUAACAGAGGCUUUCAAAAAGCUCCACACCCAGCAUGGAGCCCAGUGCGGGGUUUGAACUCACCAU